CUGGCUAAUUAAAACAAAGCAUUGCGAUGUCUGCUGAUUGAUUUUGACGCAAUAUGAUUUCUGUCCGGUGCUCUAAUGUCAACGGGAAGAAAUUCAAUCAAGCGCGGGUAAGCGGCGGGAGUACCUAUGACUAGUGAAAUGUCUACUGGGUAGAGAUAACCUAUUUUAACUGUUUAAUUUCCUCAUAAAUUAAUGCCUUACUUGAAGUAA
rnacentral:ncRNA from 1 species